CCCCACAUGGUGCAAAUGGUUAACAUGUUUGGCUGCUAACCAAAAAACUGGAGGUUCAAGCCCACCCAUAGGCA
rnacentral:tRNA from 1 species